rnacentral:rRNA from 1 species
UACGUAGGUGACAAGCGUUGUCCGGAUUUACUGGGCGUAAAGAGCGCGCAGGCGGUCGUUCAAGUCGAGUGUGAAAGCCCCCGGCUCAACUGGGGAGGGUCACUCGAUACUGAUCGACUCGAAGGCAGGAGAGGGAAGUGGAAUUCUCGGUGUAGCGGUGAAAUGCGUAGAUAUCGAGAGGAACACCUGCGGCGAAGGCGGGUUGCUGGGCUGACACUGACGCUGAUGCGCGAAAGCCAGGGGAGCGAACGGG